AAAAAGAAAGGCAUUGGUAUAGCCCGUCUGCAAGUGGCCUCCAGGAUUGGCCAAGAGGAGCUGGCCAGGCAGCAAUGCCAGCUGCUCUGGUGCCUUGCUGGAAGAGUUGACUUCUAGUGACAGGAAAUCCUGGGGAUGGAGGGACGAGGUGAAUGAUACACACAGAAGCAGGUAGACAAACCCAGAAUGGAGGACAUCCUACAGGACAAAUGAUUUCUUCAACAUGCUGUUCUCCGAGCUGGUUACCACUGGGGGCAACGGGCCGAAUCCCAUUGGAGCCCCUCUGAGGACCCGCGAGGAGCAAGCCUUGGAGAUGUUCCUCUUAAAGCCAGAAGCUGAGGCGUUUAUCCAGGACUCCCGUCCCCCACGGUGGAAGCUAUAAAAGCACUAAUUCUCCUGGAGGUAAAGUGGAACCUCUGAUUGAAGUGAGGAAGUGGGGAAAAUAAAAGCAAAAUAGUUACUUCGAGAUGUGCUUGUAUUGCCUUCCUCCCUGUCUAUGGCAGUUUAACUUGAGAAUCAGCUUGUCAAAUUCCAUUAAAAAAAUACCUUCCAGGGCUUCCCUGGUGGUGCAGUGGUUAAGAAUCCUCCUGCCAAUGCAGGGGACAUGGGUUCAAGUCCUGGAUCAGGAA